rnacentral:tRNA from 8 species
GUUUAACUCCUUCCCCUGCUA